UCUCAUAGGUUCUACUAGGAUAACUUACCAUUUUUGUUUCUUUUAUACCUGUAUGAUAAAGAAAUAAUUGAUUAAAAUAGAUAAAAUACUCUUUAUAUUUGUAAAUUUAUCAUUUCCCGUGUUAUUAUUUGAAAAGUAAUCAAAUUUUAAUAUAAAUAUCAUUAAUUAUUUUAAGUAUUUACAAUAUGUUUUAAAAAAAAUGGUUAUUUUUACAAGAAAGUAUUAAAGGGGUUUUUUUUUUGGGCAAAAUAUGAUUAAAAAAAGAAUGAAGGGUUACAUUUACAAAAUUGGGUGAAUGCUUUACCUUGAAACAGCCAAAACAAAGAAUAACUGCCUCAAGCAGUCAGGCUAGAAAACUGAAAUUGGCGCUGCAAAGUCACCAAAUUCAAAAGCAUUCAAUCACCAAAAUAUUGGGUGAGUUUGAACUAGAAUCAUAGCGUGAGAGGUUGAGGAUUCAGUGGAUUCAGUAGCGAGCUCCUCAAGGUUCUGGCAGUUGCAGAGCGACGAUGCUAUCCUUGAAAGACAUGGUACCUGCAGCUCAGAACAACAUAAACACACAAUUCAUAAUUUUGGAUAAAGGGAAGAUGACAUUAGAAGGUAAAUAUAAGACGUGUCUCACACUCGUGGCAGAUGAAACUGCAGCUGUGCAUUUUCAAAUGUGGGGGGAUGAGUGUGAUGCAUUUGAGGGAGGUGACAUUAUCCGUUUAGUUGAUGGGAUUUUCUCUUACAACCGGAACAAUCUUGUGCUGAGGGCAGGAAAGAAAGGGAAGGCAGAGAAAGUAGGAGAAUUCUGCAUGGCGUUUGUUGAAACACCAAACAUGAGUGAGAUCCGGUGGAUUCCUGAUCCAAGCAACCCCAAAAAGUAUGUGCAGGAUGCUGUUAUUUCUCCUCAUUCACAUAUCUUCCCACCAGUGCCUUGACUUGAGAUCUUUCUCUUCAUUUGUUUAACUUGUUAUUACCUAUAAAACAUCUUGAUAUUGGGUAGAUGAGCGUGUGCUUCUACUCAGCUGUGCCCUUGUCAUUGGCUUGAUGUUCCCUGGCCGAGAAGUGACAAAAUCUUCUAGGUUUGGGGCUCCUAUAUUUUGAAGUUCCCAGCUCAGUUCCUUUCCCAGAAGGUCUCCACUUAAGCUAGAUUACUGAGCCCUCUAGGAUAGCUUCCUACUUUUGGCAAUGCCUGAAUGCUGAAACCAAAGUCAUCAUUGUAUAAGUUCGAUUAAAUAUGAAAAAACUUUUGAUUAGAAA